GGCUUGUGGCUUAGUGGUAGAGCACUUGCCUCUUAUGUGUGAGGCCCUGGGUUUCAAUCCUCAGCACCA
rnacentral:tRNA from 1 species